UCUCAUGAGGACUAGCUACGUGGUGUCUAUGGGUGAGAUGGACAGACACAUGGACCUGUGUGGUUGGUUGGAUGAACACUAUUUUUGCCCCCUUCUUAAAAGUUCAAGAUGGAGUCCCCGGAGGAAGGAAGAACCAGCAGCCCCCUCAGAUUCACUCAGCACCGGAGGAAAGGGAACCAGGGGAUGGUGGCUCAGGAAGGUUCCAAGAAGCCCAGGGCAGAGUCAUGUCUCCAGUCUUCUAGACCCCUGCCUGGGCUGUGUCCUCCUCAGUGUCCAGUGUCCUGUUUCUGACCACUGCUGACUCCAGGAUCGAUGGAAGCACUGUGACGGCCACCUCCUAUCACUCUGUCAUUCUUGAGGUUUCACUCCAGAGACACAAAACAAGAGGGCACAGAGAACAGCCUUUAGAGUUAGUAUUUCUCAGGCUGGACCAGUGUGGUGGUGCUCUGGCUGAAUCGGAUGAUGCUAGGGUUCCAGGUGAAGAAGAUGAAAGGCCAGAUGACAGAGAGCAUGGAACAGCCAUUAAAAUGUGUCAGAAAGAGCUUGGGCUUUGAUGAAGAUGUGGAAGAUGAGGUAAGAGACAUCAUGAAGACAAAGGAAGGUUCCCUUACAUGAUCUGAAGUUAAGACACAUUGCAGCUCACCCAUUUACAGCUUUCACAGCUUCCAUUAGGGAAAUUUCAUGCAAAAGGUAUUCCAGAAAUGGCAGACAAAUGAGACAAUGGCUUGGCAAGAAUUUAAGGCACAAAAAUGUGUAUUUCACACAGUCCAAUGAAAUGGAUUGAACAUUGUUUUAGUCACGGCAGUGGUAUUUUUAAGUGUGUAGACAAGAUCAGCUUCCCCAUGCCCUCCUUCUCAUUCUUAAACAAGCAGAUGGUUUUUCUCAUGGUGAUUUAAGAGUAAAUGAAUCUCUCAGGUUACAAAGAAAAAGGUCAAGUUGAAUGGAAUCCCCAAACAAUUCUACUAAACUUCACUUUCAAA